CAAAAGAUAAUAGAGCUUUAAGAUACAAUCUUCACAAGAAAUGGCAAAAUAUAUUUCUCAAUAUUUUCUCUUGGGACUUUUAUGCAUUGCGUUGGUUCUGGCUUCGGCAGGUCCAACACCCAGUUUGAGCAAUGAUCCACAUAUUGAUCAAACUGACAGACCAUGCAUUGCUGCUUAUCAUUGUUCUGAGAAUGGAAAUUGCGACAAGUUGUGCCGUGAGAUCGGAUAUAAAGGAGGAGACUGUAAUCCAGGGUAUUGUUGCUGUGAUGUAUAAUCAGAAUUGAAUUACAUGAUUAUAAAUAUUUAUGUGUUUUACUAAUUAUCGAAUAAACAAUCAUAUCAAGAAGAUGAUUGAAUAAACUAAAUAAGAAACAUCAUCCUCAAAACUUUUAUUUUCACGUUGAAGAAGGUUAUAUAUAUCAAGUAUACAUGUUCAUCUCAACAAAAGCAAAAAGUGGACUACAUGAAAGCAGUGACCAAACCCAAUGUGAAAUAAAGAAAGCAAGAGGUAUAGACAAGUUACUGUUUUGAUGUUGCAAAUGUACACUUUUUUAAAUAAAUAAUCCCCAAUAUUGCUUUUAGCGGCAUCAAAA